UUGGCUGUGGGUGUCUGCAUCUGUUUGA
rnacentral:piRNA from 1 species